rnacentral:lncRNA from 1 species
CUUGGCCAUAAAAUAAACAUCAAGGUGGGAUUUGGAAGUCAGACAAGAGCUGAGCUGUGUGCAUGCAGAGGCUCCUUGUGCUUGGGCUGAACCAAGUGAGCAAGGAACACAAGGAUGUCACGUGCAAAAUAGCAAAGCUGGCAGCAGCAAGCAGUGGGUACGAAUAUGGGGAGAAGGUCAUCUGAGACUAGAUGUCACUGACAGCAAUGAUCACACAGCUUGAAGGCAUCUGUUUUGAAGCUAAUGUCAAUUUUUGCUUUGUUCUGUGUUCACAGAUGCAGUGCGUUCCCCAAUUAUACCAACAGAAUCUUCUACACCCACUAUUGUCACAGAGGGAAGUGCCACAUCAGCUACUGAAAUCCCAGACACAACUUAUGAAGGCUUCACCUCCACUACAGAAGAAGAUGGGACUACAGAAAUCCCCACCUUGCCUCCAGAAGUCUGUGAAAACUCAGCAGAACCACCAACGCCACCCAUCACAACUACAGAAGACAGCGUGACCUCAACUCCAGGCAUCUUUCCCACAGUUCUUGAAUAUCCCUUCUCUGUCCCCAGCACUGCAACUACACAGACAACAGAUGUUACAGAGAUCCUGGCCACCACUCUGGGAGGUGAGGCACUCCUCUGCUGAAGGUACUCCCAAAAACAACAAGGAUCACAUCCCUCACUGCCCUAACAAUGGCUGCUGCAUCUUUACCAAUGUCUACUGCAUCUCCAGCAGUAGAAGGCGGCAGUCAGAAAUAACACCGGGAUCUAGUGCCAUUAAAUGCUCAAUCAGGGUGGUUUACAGGCUCUUUUCAGUAAGAACAGGGGGCUGUCCUUGACUCACUUCCCUGCAAAACCCAUCCCCACCUACUUGCAUCAAGAU